ACCAGUAAGACUGUGGGGGAUAAGCUCCAUUGUCAAGAGGGAAACAGCCCAGAGCACCAGCUAAGGCCCCCAAAUAAUUACUAAGUGAUAAAGGUGGUGGGAGUGCAUAGACAAUCAGGAGGUUUGCUUAGAAGCAGCAAUCCUUUAAAGAGUGCGUAAUAGCUCACUGAUCGAGUAAACCUGCGCCGAAAAUGAAUGGGACUCAAGUAAUUUGCCGAAGCUGUGCGAUAUUUUAAUAAUAUCGGUAGGGGAGCGU
rnacentral:rRNA from 1 species